ensembl:lincRNA
AGGCUCCCUGUGACGGCGUCAUUAUCUGUUUACCCUUUGAUUUCAGAACCGAACUAAGCUCCGUGGUUCAUGCUUGUUUCCAGAGAUGCCAACAAUCUGCUCUUCCCCGAGUCCCCUCAGGUGUGCACACCUGCGGCUGAACGGGCCUUCGGGAAGGCAUCGUCAUCAGCAGCGGCCCUGUGGUUUCGGGGAAGAGCGGGGGACGUGUCCCCGGGGACGGACUCCUGCUUGCUCCUGAGGGGCACCUUGGCAGGGCGGACAUUGGAAACUGAAUGCAGAGGAAGCAUCUGGAAGUGGAGCUCUUGGCCUCAGCCCUCCUGUCCUGGGUGUGGCAUUUGUCAAGAAGGAGGCAGAGAAGCUUGCAGAGGAGUGAGCUUGGGCGGAAUUCAUGCCAGGAAGACGUGGCCUCAAGGGGUGUCAAGGCUCCAGAGUCGAACUGCACAGCUCCACCCCAGCACACCCCACGACUUGCUGGCCAGCGGUCGUGGCAGCCUCUCCGAGUCUUUGCCUGCCACUCUCAUCCCUGCGGUGAGCUGACCACAGUGCUUAGCAUGGCGCCUGACACAUGGAUUCAGAGGUGAAGACAGCCAAAGAGGAGAAAUUUAUGUCAUUCAUCAAAUCAUUCAAAGACAGUCCUGGAAUGUCCAUCUGGGGGCCGAAGUUGGUUGCCUGGGACGUAAAUAAUAAACACAAUGAUCAAGUUCAAAUUAUUACCUUCAUCUUCGCUUCUUUGCAUCAUUGUCCUUGAAAGUGGCCUGUUCACUGCUUUUCUCGGUGUUUUCUGCAAGGUGGUAAUUAAAACAUCAACCCAAAAGACAAUCGUAAUGGGCUGGAUUGAGCUCCUCAAAGUCCAUAUGUCACAGUCCUCACCCCGGCACCACAGAACGUGAUUAUUUGGAGGGCCCUUUGCACUUUUUGGUGUAUGCGCAAGAGACCUGAAAACAUGUUCACAGAAAAACUUGCCGUGAGUAUUUACAGCAGCACGAUUUGUAAGAGCCAAACCAUGCAAAGAGGUGACUGAGGUAAAAUUAGGACAUGGCACGGCCCCUAAUUCAAUCUGACUGGUGUCCUUAUAAGAAGAGCGGUUAGGAACCGACACACAGAGGGAUGAUCACCUGAGGACACACGGAGAAGACGCCACGCAGAAGCCAAGGAGACAGGCCUUGGGAGGAGCCAGCCCUGCCGUAACCUGGAUCUCAGCCUCCAGCCUCCAGCCUCCAGCCUCCAGCCUCCAGCGCUGUGGGAGAACGCAUUUCUGUUGUCUGACCACCCACCUGGUCUGUGGUUCCUUGUUAUGCAGCUGGAACCAACUAAUCCUAUAUGCCUGGUCACCAAGAUAUUGCCCUAGGGACGGAAAAUUCACCAGUGCCGUCUCUAAGCGCUCUGUGGAGAGACUGGACUUGCAAAACGUUUUAAAUGCCUUGUUCGAAACAUUUCAUGAUAUUUUUGUUUUUCUUUUAAUUGCUCUAAUCUAAUUAGUGAGUUUCCCCUAAGCAAAGAGUUCUUACUUCGUUACAUUUUGUCUUUUCGUUACACGAAUGCAACAUUUGAUCUUAUUUGCUAUUUGCUUUUUAAAACUUUCCUUUUUUAAAAAAAAAAAAAGUUUAUUUGUUUAUUGAGAUGAAGUCUCGGUAUGUUGCCCAGGUUGGUCUUGAACUCCUGAGCUCAAGGGAGCCUCCUGCCUCAGUCUCCCAAAGUGCUGGCAUUACAGGCGUGAGCCACUGUGCCCAGCCUAAAAACUUUCUUUUCAUUUGGAAGUCAUUUUAUAAACACAGAGAAUGGUGAAGAUGGUCCAGAGAGCCCCUGUAUGUCCUAUCCCUGCUUUCCCCUCAUGUUCACUGCUGAUUAAUUUUUAGUUUCAAAUGUAAUCCACGUUGCUUGGAGAAAGGGUGGGAAAUAGAGGAAAUGCCGUGGAUUUAAAAAGAAAAUCAGUUUAAUUUCAGCACUAAGACAUAAAUCCAGUUAGCUUUAGGAAUCUUCCUUUUCAGCAUUGUUUUCUUUCACUUUUCCUUUGAAAUGAUUUUCGGAUUGCAGGGAGUGGCGAGGAGAGUGGAGCGGGCGCUCAUGGGCCCUUCCCCCAGUUUCCCUGCAGUGGCUGCAGAGCGCACCAGCAUGGUGCAAGACCGACGCCAGGAAAUGGGCACUGUGCAAGGUGUGCCCUGCUCUCUGCCGCUGGAUCACACGUGUAGAUUCAUGAAGCCACCACCCAGUCCAGAGGCAGAGCUGCCCCGUCAUCCAGAGAUCUCUCCCGCUGCUGGGCCCCUCCUUGGAACCAUCCUCAACCCCUAGCAACCGUUCAUCUGUUCUCCAGCUCCACACCUGGUCAUUUCGAGACAGUCGUAUAUACAGAAUCAGGCAGAACAUGCCCUUUUGGGACUGGCCUUUUCUCUUAGUGCACAGCUGUGACAGCGGGCGGGUGGGUGAGUACACCAAUAGCUCGCCUCUUCCGACGGCUGUAUUCCAGACCCAGCCAUUUGCUUAGCCGGUCACGUGGUAAAGAACAUUUGGGGCAGUUGUGUCCAGUUUGGGGCUGUUAUAAAUAAAGCUGCAUGAACAUUCGUGUGCA